rnacentral:rRNA from 1 species
UACGUAGGGGGCAAGCGUUAUCCGGAUUUACUGGGUGUAAAGGGAGCGUAGACGGCGAUGCAAGCCAGAUGUGAAAGCCUGGGGCUCAACCCCGGGACUGCAUUUGGAACUGUGUGGCUGGAGUGUCGGAGAGGCAAGUGGAAUUCCUAGUGUAGCGGUGAAAUGCGUAGAUAUUAGGAGGAACACCAGUGGCGAAGGCGGCUUGCUGGACGAUGACUGACGUUGAGGCUCGAAAGCGUGGGGAGCAAACAGG